rnacentral:rRNA from 1 species
CCUACGGGUGGCAGCAGUUGGGAAUCUUGCACAAUGGGGGAAACCCUGAUGCAGCGACGCCGCGUGGAGGAUGACGGGUCUAGGCCUGUAAACUCCUUUUAUCGGGAAAACGGUACCCGAUGAAUAAGGACCGGCUAACUACGUGCCAGCAGCCGCGGUAAGACGUAGGGUCCAAGCGUUGUCCGGAUUUACUGGGCGUAAAGAGCGCGUAGGCGGCUCGUUAAGUGUGAAGUGAAAUCUCAGGGCUCAACCCAGAAACUGCUUUACAUACUGGCGAGCUAGAGGGAUGCAGAGGUUUGUGGAAUUCCUGGUGUAGCGGUGAAAUGCGUAGAUAUCAGGAGGAACACCCAUGGCGAAGGCAGCAAACUGGGCAUCUCUGACGCUGAGGCGCGAAAGCGUGGGUAGCAAACAGGAUUAGAUACCCUUGUAGUC